AAAACUCUCUUAACAGAUGACAAGUAAAGAUAAAAUCAAAAAAGCAAGGAAUUACAACAAAACUGAAUUUUGGGGGAGAAAGAAGAAAUAAUGAAUUACAGAAAAGUUACAGAGAACUAAAGUGGGAAAAGAAUGUGGAAUGGUUGGGUUUUGAAAUAAAAAUAAAAUAAAAUUUAAAAUAAAUAAAUAAACAUUUUAAAAUUAAAAAAAAGUAAAAAUAAUAAUUCCUAAAAACACACACAAGAGGACUCGAACCUAGAACCCAGAGGUAAACUAACACACAUCCAAC
rnacentral:lncRNA from 1 species